AGCGGCAAACGGGUGAGUAACACGUAGGAAUCUACCCUCAAGUGGGGAAUAGCCUUCCGAAAGGAGGAUUAAUACCGCAUGUGUAUCAAAGCAUUUUGCUUUGAUAUAAAGCCUUCGGGCGCUUGAGGAGGAGCCUGCGCGCUAUCAGCUAGUUGGUGGGGUAACGGCCUACCAAGGCAAUGACGGCUAGCCGAUGUGAGAGCAUGAUCGGCCACAAGGUCACUGAGACACGGGGCCUACACCUACGGGUGGCAGCAACUAGGAAUAUUGCGCAAUGGACGAAAGUCUGACGCAGCGACACCGCGUGUGGGAUGAAGCUUUUCGGAGUGUAAACCACUGUGGCGAGGGAAGAAUUUUGACUGUACCUCGCUAGAAAGCACCUGCUAACUACGUGCCAGAAGCCUCGGUAAUACGUAGGGUGCAAGCGUUAUCCGGAUUUACUGGGCGUAAAGCGUCCGUCGGCGGCGGUAUAAGUCUGUUGUUUAAGCCUGCGGCUCAACUGCAAAACAGCAACAGAUACUGUGCCACUUGAGUAUGUUAGAGGAAGAUAGAAUUCUCGGUGGAGGGGUGAAAUCCGUAGAUAUCGAGAGGAAUGCCAAUGGUGAAGACAGUCUUCUGGAACAUUACUGACGCUCAGGGACGAAAGCUAGGGUAGCAAAAGGGAUUAGAGACCCCUGUAGUCCUAGCCGUAAACGUUGGAUGCUAGUUGUUCUAGGUUUAACCUGGAGUGACGUAAGCUAACGCGUUAAGCAUCCCGCCUGGGGAGUACGACCGCAAGGUUAAAACUCAAAGGAAUUGACGGGGGAGCGCACAACCGGUGGAGCAUGUGGUUUAAUUGGAUACAAAGCCAAAAACCUUACCCAGGCUUGACAUAUAGCUGCAGAUCUGAUGAAAGUCGGAUUGUCUUCGAGAGUGCUAUACAGGUGAUGCAUGGCUGUCGUCAGCUCGUGUCGUGAGACGUCCGCUUAAGUGCGGUAACGAGCGCAACCCUUAUCUUGUGUUACAAGUGUCACAAGAGACUGCCCUCGCUCAGCGAGAGAGGAAGGAGAGGACGACGUCAAGUCAGCAUGUCCCUUACGCCUGGGGCGACACACAUCCUACAAUGGAGCCGACAACAGGUAGCGACGCUGCAAAGCUGGGCCAAUCCUUAUAAACGGCCCCUCAGUUCGGAUUGAGGGCUGCAAUUCGCCCUCAUGAAGCCGGAAUCGGUAGUAAUCGCAAAUCAGCAGGUUGCGGUGAAUACGUUCUCGCUCCUUGUACACACUGCCCGUCAAGCCAGCAAAGUUGGCAGCGCCCGAAGCGGGUGACC
rnacentral:rRNA from 1 species